CACGCUAUGUGAAUAUCUUUGCAUUUGCUGUGUGUUCUGACUUUUACAUCUUAAUAAUCAUGUUUCCGUACGUGUCGCGAGCGGCGGUGUCUUCUCCGCACGCCAGCCGGCCAGAGUGACGCCCUGCUCGGCCAGCCUGCCGUCACUCCUCCGCUGACUGCGGCUCGCGGUCCCGCGAGGAAACAGCAAAUAACGGUAAAUGGACCUUCGAGGAGCUCAGUGGACAAGUGGUGCUGGCAGAGAUGAAUGUCUGUGGGCUGUGCUAACUAAGGUCAAAGGUCAGAUAUAACUCUCCAGAAUGGAAUGACAGACAUGGCCGGAGGUAAAACGAGAUAAAAAGAGUGAGCAAAAAGGGAGAGCUCGAUGUUAGUCCACUGUAUGUGUGUUGUGUGUGUGUGUCCAAAGUGGCUGAUCACAAAUAGACAAA